rfam:Schistosoma curassoni strain Dakar, Senegal genome assembly, scaffold: SCTD_scaffold0000420
AUCCAGCUGACGAGUCCCAAAUAUGACGAAGCGCGCAUCCUGGAU